ACAACCGAGGUGCAAAGGCUGUCGCUGACCCUCAAAGGUUGUGCACGCCCGAGCGCUCUCACACAAUCCAUCUCACCUUUGUGCAUCACCGCGUGGGUCCCCUUUGCGGGAGGGCUCGCGUUUUCACAUAAUAACUCGAUACAGUGUAGAAUGUUUCUUUUGCGGUCACACGCAAUCAAUACAACUUUCAACAACGGAUCUCUUGGCUCUCGCAUCGAUGAAGAACGCAGCGAAAUGCGAUACGUAAUGUGAAUUGCAGAAUUCAGUGAAUCAUCGAAUCCUUGAACGCACCUUGCGCCCCUUGGCAUUCCGAGGGGCACACCCGUUUGAGUGUCGUGAAUUCUUCAAAACCCUUUUUUCUUCGAACCAUCGUGGUCGGGAAAAGGAUUUUUGGACUUGGAGGUUUAAUGCUCGCCCUUUCUUUUGAAAGCGAGCUCCUCUCAAAUGAAUUAGUGGGGUCCGCUUUUGCUGAUCCUUGACGUGAUAAAAUGUUUCUACGUUCUGGGUUUAGCACUGUCGCUUGGAUGCCUGCUCCUAACCCGUCUCAUUGACAAUGAUGGUGCUCUGGUCACUGCCGUCUACAUCGGCGGGAGGCUGGACCCACAAAAGAAAACCUUGA
rnacentral:rRNA from 1 species